AAAAAAAAUUCAAAAUGAAUAGGAUUUUAAUCAAUGGAGUAACAAAAAGAAGGAUGUGAACCUAAUUUUCCCUUAAAAAAAAUUAAAAAUUGUAAAUCUUUUGGCUAUCUAUGUACAAAAGGGAUUAGAUCAACACAUUCCACCUAAGUAGUUUCUUCAAAAUGGACUUUCCUGUGAAACUAAUUGAUUAGAGUUAACCAAACUGAUGUCAUGUAUCCUUUUUUAAAAUAUACCAAAAUAGCCAUAUAUUUAUGCUGACAAUAGGUAAUCCACGACAUAGAUAAAUUAUACAAUCACAUAACUUCAACAAUGAGAACAUAAUCACGACAUUGAUAAAUUUCUCGCCCUCCCUUUUUCUGUUCCAUUUUGUACUUUCGUAUGCAGGCUGCACUACCAAACCAACACAAACACGCAAAUAAAGAUGGGACACGUGGAUAAUAUCGAACUUCUGUUUGAUGAUGACAUUUUCUACAUGUCGUGCUUGCAGAGAAGGUUAAUGCGAUCACCAUCAAGCUUACCAAUAAUAUGCAUGACAUAAGCUAGCUGAAAGAUCGGAAAAAAUGACCAAAAUUUUGCUUAUGUGAUAUGCAUGCAUUCAACCACGUCAUCAAGGACGAUCAAGGAGGAGGAAACGUGAUUACCAGCGUCAGCCACGGAGACUUAAGAAAAGUGUUGAUGGAGACAAUCUUAAUCAGCCUUAGCAGAGUCAAGGCCAGCCACCACUGAGAGAAAUACACUCGGAGAGAGUAGAAACAAGGUAGCUGCACACCGGUUGAUCAGUUUUAUACCACGAAACAUAUUCAGGAUUAGGCUUGACGGAAGCAUUAUCAGUAGCAGGAAGCUCGGUGUUAGGUGCAGAGGAGGAGCCAUCAACAUGAGAGAAAAGAUCAUGAGCAAUCAAGAAGGGACGUAUCUGACACGUCCAGUUGAGAAAAUUAGUCUCUGUAAGCUUGAAGAAGUGAGUCACAUUAGGUCCAGAAGGAAGAGAGGGAGCUCAAGAGGAUGAGGAAGCGGCUGCCGUGGUGGAAGGAGAAAGCAAAAAAAUUUAGGUCGAGGGGGGGAAGGGCUGCGGCACAAGUUGCAACCUUAGCUCGUUCAUACCAUAAAGAAAUUAUAAACUUGGUAAUUAUAUUCAUAGCACAAAGGCAUAUAUAUACAAUCGCUUAUAUUGACGUACAAGUAAGGAUCUGUACAAAUUAUGAAUCCAAUCAGAAUUAAAUUACAAUAUUAA